rnacentral:lncRNA from 1 species
AAGGGUUGGUUAUUGUCAUCUUCACCUAUUCUGCUGUCAUGCUUCCUCUGAUUGCCACUGAUGGGGUCCAUCUCAUUCAAUAGCUAAAGUAAUAGGCCUGUGACUAAGGAAAAUUUCUUUGGUUUGGUAGCCAACUUUGUUGAAUUGUCAACAUUGAAGAAAAAGAAGAAAAAGUGUGCAAAUUAUCAAAUAUAAUAGGAUUUAGAAAGUGAGGUUUCGGCUAUAAAAGGAGAGCUUCAACUCUCAUUUCUACACACCAACAAAGAGAGAAAGAAAGAAAGAGUGAGGUUUCCCAGACAAUGUAUAAGAAAAUAGUCUGUGACAAAGAUAGAGAGUAAGCGAUAUUGUAGUGAGGUGGAAAUAUCAAAAGAGAGUUAUUUCUUUUGAGUGUUGUAGUGAUCUUUGGAGUAUUUUACUCGGACCUACAAAGUGUAAAAUUCCUUGCUUUAGUGAUAUCAGUUGCUCGUCUCGGGGCCAUGAUUUUUUCCUUUAUUCAAAAGGGUUUUCCACGGGUUUUCCAUGUAAAAAUGUUGGUGUCGUUGUCACUAUUUUAUUCUUGUUAAUUAUCGUAUCUCGGUGCUACUUUAUUAUUCUGCUUUUAUUAUCGUGAAUAUUAUUUCUGUAGGGUGUUUAUUCCCAACAACCACUGGUUUGAGACAAGUUGAUCACUUGGGAUUCUCCUGUGUCCAACAAACUUGGCCCUGCUUCCUGUUGCCUCUGAAUGGUAAGAUUGUUUCUGUUUUCAUUAAGAUGGGUGAAGCCAUUUUUGGUGCUGACAUUCCCUUCAUCGACAACUUUAUUUGACUUGGCAGCAGAUUUAGCUUUCACUUCUAUCCAUCCAUCAGGUUGUGCUUCUUGUUGGUGUUCUUUCUGCUCAAUGUGCCUUUUGUUUGAAGCUAGUUCAUUUACCUGAUUAUCUACCAUAUCUUUUUGUGUCCUCUCUUUGAUAGUCUGUCCUUUGUGCUGGCAAACUUGCACUACUCUUUGGUUCCUUCUUCCGUGCUGCUGUACUGGUGGUUGCUGUGCUAGGAACUCAUAUUUGUUUUUGCAAUUGUGCCCAAUCAGUAGACAUGUCUCACAAAACUCCGGUUCCCAUUCAUAUCCUACCUCUUGAUCAAAUAUUUCCCCAGCAGGGCUUUGUACCUUGAUUACUUUAGGUAGUGGUUUGGUAAUGUCCAUAUCUAUAAGAACUCUAGCAUAUGAUAUUCGAGCAAUGUUCGAUGUGUAAUCAUCAGCAUACAAAGGAGUACCCAAGCCACUGCUUAUUUUACUUAAAGACCUCAUUCCCCAAAAAUUUAGAGGAAGGCUUGGAAAAUUAACCCACAAUGGAACAGUUUUCAACACUUGAUUGUGAAAAUUGAACUCUGUUGUCCAUGAUUUCAUUAUAACAGGUUUAUUCUUAAUCAUAUUGGGGCCUGAAAGUAGUACCUGAACCCUUUCCUCUAUGCUCUGAAAUCGGAUGACGAAAUAGUCAUCGUUGUGGUAGUAUAUCUGGGGCUUAGCUUCCAAUUUUCAUUGUGCUGCGAUGAAUCUCUCCACUACUCCAAUCGAUGGGGAAUUACCAAUGACAUAUAGGAUAAUUGCCAUUUUCCACUUCUCAUUUUCUUCUGCUAUAUCCUCCUGUUCUAGUUUAACUACCUUUUGUCCUUCUUGUAAAAUAGGGGCAAUAUAUUAUAGGGGCAUUCCUUUUGAGGCCAAUUUAUUCCGAGCGACCACGCUUGCCCAAGUUUGGUUUCCACCAUUACCAGAUUGUUUCUCUGUAUUUACCUGAGCAUCACUUGUUUCCUUUGCGAUCAAUUUUCCAAUUGUAUUCCCUAGAGUAUGCACUUGUUUGGGACUAGAUUGGUAUCCAGUAUUGUUUGUGCCAAUAGGGCCUUGACCUCCUCUACUACUCCCACGAGUGUCGUUAUUGUUCAUCGGAGUCGUUUGUGGCCUAGGUUGUUCGUAUUUUAAAAAAUUCCAGCUUUAAUUGCAGGUUGCCUUAUUACCUGGCCUCCACCAUCAUUGUUGCUCUGAAUUCUAGGGUUACUGCCCACCCUCGCAAUUUUCAUCUUCCCUGCGUUCAUCGUAGGAGUGUCUGCAACUAUCUCUAGGUCGGCAGCUUGCCUUUCCGGUGAUACCUUGGCAUUUUUUCCAUUGUUCGAUCCAUUUGGUGGCUUACUAUUGCUGGAUCCCGCUUUGAGUUCAUCAAGUAGCUUCAGAUCUGUAAGUAGUACUUUGUUUGCACACAUUGAUGGUCGUCCCCUCCCCAUUCCGGCUGCCGGCGCACGUUAGAAACACACUAACGAGCGUUUCGCUUUCAAGAGAGAGAGGAUUCAUUUCCUUCACACACUUAUAAAUAAAGAAGAGUAACUCACCCUCUUCCCUAUCCCUGCCAAAAAACAAAAUCUCCAUAUAAGCAAAUAAACAGAAAAGGAGAAGGAGAAAAAUAAAGUGAUUUCAAAUAGAGGAGGCUUCUUUUAAUUUUCCUACAAAAGCACUUGCAACUCUUUCUUUCCACAUAAUUAGUUUCAAAAAAUAAAGAAUAUUAGUUUUAUGAAGCAUUUAAAAGAGCAAUAUAUGUCAAGAAUCAGUAAAAGGAACAUAAUCAAAUAGGGUAAAUAAAUACAUUGAUUUCCACACGUCAAGCCGCUAGUGAAAUUUUAUUUAAAUAGCAGUUGGCUUCUUAGUAUAGAGUGCAACAUAUAUCAAGAUCUAAAACUUUUAAAUGAAAUUUGAUCUAUUUAACACUUUCAAUAUUAGAAAAAGUGAACGUGAAAGCAUAACAUUUCUACUCUUGUGACGACUUUGAAGUUACUGACUACUUUGAAAAGUUUAAAUUCUUGAUCUUUCACCCUCAAACACCUAUAAUCAGAUUUUGUAACUAUUAUAUGACCCAAAAAUUAAAGGAAAAAACAAGAGAAGAUAUAUUGUUAAAGUAUAACUAAACAUACUUUGAUUGACACUGUGAUUUGUUAGUCUUAAUGUUAAGAGUGACUUCCAUAUUUGUAUCUGAGACUCAUAUGAUAGAACGUCAUGAACGAUAUUAUUUUGUUAUGGGAUCCACUGAAAUAGAUAGACAUCAGCAUAUAUUAAAUAUUAGUGCUUCUCCAAUGAAAUAAAAAUAAUAAUAAAAGGAUGAAUACCAACAGAAAUGGAAAUAUUUAAUAGACCGGUUUCACCAAUCAGUAGAGCAACAUAUAUGUUGUUUCAGAAAAGCUAUCAAAUAAAUACAGUUAAAUGGAUAAAAGCUUAUAUCCAGAAGAAAAAUAUUGCAAGGAAAAGAAUAUUACUACCACAACAGAAAAUAAUUUGCCUCUAAAGAAUAUCCCCUUGAGUUACAGUUUAAUGGUCAAGAUGUCAAGAAAUAUAAGAGGAGUUGUACAUACAUUUUGUUUUUGUGAUGUGAUAACGCUGGACAAGAACCAAUCUAGACUUCUGAGAAUUGAGAUUUUGGAAAGACACAAAUGGUAUAAUAUAGACAUUUGACCCUUUGUUGGCAAAUUACACACAUUUAAUAGAGACCUUAAAUGGGAAGGGAAGAAGAACCGAAUUGGUUAGGGAAUUGAUCUGAUUGGUAGUAAAAAUUGUGAUUUAUGCUAAACGUCGUCACUGUUCGCCUGUCGCACCAUUAUUGUCAUUAAUUAAUAAUUAAUUUAUCUAUUGUUGAUAUGUAACUGUUGCACUUGUCGCAUUCCUUCGUAGAUAGAUAAUUAAGAUUUAAGAUGAAUAACACAAACUUUUUAGUAGGAAAAGGCCAAAAACAUGAGAAUAUAUAUAUAUNNNNNNNNNNNNNNNNNNNNNNNNNNNNNNNNNNNNNNNNNNNNNNNNNNNNNNNNNNNNNNNNNNNNNNNNNNNNNNNNNNNNNNNNNNNNNNNNNNNNNNNNNNNNNNNNNNNNNNNNNNNNNNNNNNNNNNNNNNNNNNNNNNNNNNNNNNNNNNNNNNNNNNNNNNNNNNNNNNNNNNNNNNNNNNNNNNNNNNNNNNNNNNNNNNNNNNNNNNNNNNNNNNNNNNNNNNNNNNNNNNNNNNNNNNNNNNNNNNNNNNNNNNNCUUGAAAUAUAGAUGAAACAUCAGAGAUGACAGUUUCGGGAACAAAGCUUCCAGGCACAACAAUGAUGAGAUAAAAAAGCAAGUAAAUAAAAUUGUAUUAAGCUUUGUAUACAAUACAAUGUAAGUUUAGCCAGAAAAUUCGUAUCAUUCCAAUGAUCACUGAACUUAUUAUUUAUACCUAUGAAGAAGGUACUAGGAUCGUGCUCUUCUUUAAUGUCAAUUAUGAUGAGCAUUGAUGAAGAUGUAACGGUGAACAUAAAUACCAAAUUCUCUGUAACGGACCGUCGUUCUUAAUGCUGUAGAAUAUUUCUUAUUAAAUGUUACCGGGCGCAAAACAUUUAAUGCCUUUAUGAACAUUAUCUCUUCCGGUGACAAACGAAAUAGCUGCGCCCGGUCUUCGGUCCUCCCCGUCUUGGGUUCCACGUGUCCCCUUCUUGGGUGGCCAUGCGCCAUAACAUAUUUUACCUAAUACAGAUAGUCCCCCUGCUUUCCGGUGACAUAACUUCGUGUUACCGGGAAGUUGGUAGAAACACUCUUUUGGUGAAAAUUACUAUAAUUCCUUUUGAAGGACACUGUCGAUUGAUUAGACGUCUGUCCCUCCAUAUCUAAUGCCCCGAACAUGCGUCUUCCCAUGAUUUAGCACGUCUUUUGUCGGUUAUCGAGGUAAUCCUCGCCAAGGAUUUAGCCGCCAAAACUUUUACUUAUACGUAUCAACUUCCCCCCUUGUACUCCAACUUCCUUCAUCUAAUCUCGCCUACUGUGUCUUCAUCUUCUUCAAACAAAAAACCCUUUUUCUUUUUCAAUGGCUUCCUCCUCAAAACGUACUGGUUCUUCAAAAAGACUCAAUACCACAAAGGAUUUUGAAGAGAAAUUCCCUUCUGCUAACCCUCGUACAUGGGCUGUUAGUAGGUACACUUCUUCUAUCCGUCCUUCCAGUAUUCUUGUUGUGAAGGAAGAUUGUCAUUGCAAUGAGUUGGAUAUAAUCGCUCCUGAUCUAUCAGAGCGAGUGACCCUUCCCGAGGAAGGUUUUACAUACUUUUACACGUAUCUCUUUACUUUGGAUGUGUUUUCUUUGAGUAGAAAGCUCGAUUCCGUGAUUACGGAAUUUUUCCUUCACUAUCAGGUGUGUUUGGCACAGGUAAAUCCUUCUGUGUGGAGGACGGUUGCCUGCCUUCGACGCUUGUGCCAGGAGACUGGAGAAGAGCUAAUAUUAGCUCACAUGAUGAAUCUCUACUCCCCCAAGUUUUUUUUUUUGGGGGAGGGGGGAGGGUGGGAGAGGUAUGAUAAAUCUCUGCAAACGGGGUCACCAUGCUUUGUUGACUAACAUGGAUGAUGAUAGUGACCGCGGAUGGCUGGAACGGUUCACUGCGGUUGCCACUAAUAGUAUCGGUCCAACUACGGUUUCAUCCUUUCCGGCCGCUAGGAACCGUACUCGUAAAAUCUCUAAUAUAUCUUCUUUCAUUAAAUAUUCUUCUAUGGCCGUAUCUUCAUUCUUCGUAUGUUUCAGCAACUCGAUGGGUCCCAUCGGUGGUGGAAGGCUUAGACCGAUGGGUUUAGAAGAUUUUGGACAUCACGAUGUCUGAUACUCGCUUGUGGAAAGGACUGGCCCGGAAAUACGGGUGGAAGGCCAAAAAUCCAAUCUAUUCCCAUAAUUACAUCAAAAUAAACCAUUCCCAAUUCACUGAGAUCGGUCACGGUGUCCCGACCACAUAUUGUGACAACACAACCCCUAUAAACCCGUGCGGCCACAAUAGACUCGCCAACCAGAGUAGAUACCGAGAGCGGCUCAGGAAGCUGUUCCUGUUCUAUCCCAAAUUCCAUAGCAACAUAAGGGGUAACAUAGGACAAAGUGGAACUGGGAUCAAUAAGAGUAUAUACAUCAUGAGUUUGGACAGUCAAUAUACCUCUGACAACAUCUGGAUAAGCCUCUGGUGCUGGAGGGCCUCGAGCUGGAGGGAGUGCUGAAGAUGUAGCAGCUGCAGAACUGGAUGGCUGUGUUGUGCCCCUGCCCGCACCCUGGCGAGAUGAACGACACUCCCUCUGGAUGUGACCCUCAAUCCACACCCAUAACAUAUAGGUAAGUCCAAGUAGCAGAUCCCCGAGUGCAUCCUCCCACACCUGGGGCAUGGCGGCCUUCGCUGUUGCGGGAAUCUCCCUCCUGAUCGACCCUGAUGGUGGGGUCCCCUGCUGCCCUGAUUGGGCCUGAAGUGACUCCCCUACUGCUGACUGUGCCCCGCUGGCGGUGCACUGGCUGAAGACUGAGCAUGAGAUUGGGUUGGCUAUGAUGACCCUCCCCUGAAAGCUGAUCUUCCCCCACCAAAUAUCUCCCCAAAGUUGCCCGCGGACCGGGCCUUGCUGGUAUCCUCUCGCUCCCUUCUGUUCUUCCACUUACGGUCCUCUGUAGCUUGAUAAAAUGCUACCAUCUUCCCAUAGUUUAUGUCUGAAUUCAAGGCAGCUGUAGCGGCUUCAUUGAUAACUAAGGGGCUAAGGCCCUGCAUAAACCGGCGCACUCUAGCCUCCAUAGUAGACAACAUGAGCCCAAGAUUGGUGAAGCAAUUUAUCGCACCGAGCGUGGACCCUGAGCAUAAGAGAAUGUUUGUUCUCACAGUCCCGGAGGAUACCCGUUUACGAGCUCGAAACACGCACCUAAAUUAUGCUCGCUAAUCAAAUAUAGUAUAGUAUAAUAUCGUAUCCACAAGGAUUGAAUUUAAAUAUUAUUCUCAUAGUUUCUAGCUUGCUUUCUAUCCAAGAUGAUCCACAAUUGAAAUUUAUAUGAUUUCUACUAAAAUUAAUUAUGAAUCUAAUGAUAUUGACUAUUGAAAAUCGAAACAAAGAUAAGCAAGGAAGUUCUCACUGGGAGAAAGUAGGGGUUGAUAGGAUAGGUCCAAGAUAAUUGUUCGGGAUCUAACUCUAGAUAUUCACUUCUAAUGUUCAAGUGAGUCUCUUGAAUUCACUCAAUUAUUAAUUCAAACAUUCAACAAAAAAUCCUCUCUCAAUUAAGUCUUAACCUCACGAGAUGAAUCAAUUUAAGAACCUGAAGAUAUGCAAGAAUUAGUUGAUUGGUCUUUAGGAAAAGCUCUUUCAAUUAUUCUCCUAACUAGGUUUAAUCAAUGAUUGAACUAGCCUCUUUCAAUUACUAAGAAGAAUUAAUGAACUUAACCAACAAUAUAAUGCAAAGAUAUCACAAGUUAUGCCUCUCUCGAUUACAUGAAUGAGUGAAUAUAAAUGCAACAAUUAAAUCAUCCAAAAACACUUCAAUACAUAAAACUAGAGUAUAAUCCACAAACAAUCAUCAAUACACCGAAUCCAUCAAACCCUAAAGAGAACUUACUCCCUAGAUAUGGAGAAAUUCAUCACAAAUAAAGUUAAAGUAUAGGGAAACAUAAAUUCAAUCCAAACUCGUGUCUUGAGUUAGGAAGGAAUGAUGAAAUCCUUGUGCUCGUGUUCUUCCAACUCCUCCUUAGCCUCCUUAGGUCGAAUAUGUGUCAAAAGUCCAAAAAAUAGCGUUUUCCAUGUACUUAUACCAAGUAGGGUCGGGCCCAGACGAAAUCAUCUUCUCCUAACCGAAAUAGGAAAAGUACUUUGUAAAAAUUGCAGAGGCGCGCCACAUGGGUUGACGCGCCAUGCAGGGCAUUAAGCGGGAAAUUCAGAGUGCUUGUUCUAACAAGCAGUAGAGAAUGGCACAGGCGCGGCGCCUGGCAAUGGAGAUUUCUCAGAGUGCAUACCAACUUCGAUUUUUGACGUCCAAACUUAAUCCUCGAUCCCCAAACACGAUCCCGACUUAAUUCCUUGGGCUUCUACUCAGGCUUUAAAGAUCCAAAUCAUUUGAACAUUCCACAACAUCUACAUAGCUUAAAAUCACUCUUACAAGGCAUAAACACAUAAUAAGUGCAAAAUACUACCAAUUAAAGCUCAAACACAAGUAAAGUGCAGUGAAUUAGAGUGCAAUAAGCGACUAAAAUAUGGGAUUUUAACCUACCAUUAACACCCCACACUGAAACCAUUGCUCCUCCUCAAGCAAUCAAACUACACUCUACAUAGACACGACCUUUUUAAACAACUCUCAUAACUCAUCACACCAAGAAUAGCUAAAACAGAUUAAGCACUCUAACGUAACAUCCUUGCCUCAAGAUUUGACUCACAAACAUCACACAUUUUUCACAACCCUCUUACUUACUCGAACCCAGAGCUCAUUGACAUUACAUUUCCUUCAUGAAUUAAGUGCUCUCAUACAACAAUAGAGAGUAGUUCCACACACAAUUAAAUUUAACAACAUUCAUAUGCCACAAAAGACAUUCCAUAGGCUUGCCCGUAAUGUACUACUCUACUAAUUGAGCUCAUUCAGUCAAGGAUCAAGUAGGACUUUCAUUUGGUUGUAAUAUAAGCUGCGGGAUGGGUAGGAUAUAUUUCGAUAUAAGAGUGACUACACCUCCCUAAGCACUUUAAUACAUACAUUCCAUUGUUCAAAACCCCACAUUUAUGUAAAACAAAAACUCCACGUUCACCUUAAUAUAAAUUAACUCCCUACUUCUUUAAGCACAAUUACAUCAAGUUACCACUAUCAAUGAAUAUCGUUUCUUCACGACAAUACACCUACUUUUGUUUCUUUAUUUUUUUUUUAAUUCAAGUGGCUCUUAUUUUUUUUCAAUACAAUGCACCUUUCUCCUUAUUUCAUUAGUUCCACUCAAAAGCCAAACCAACCACCUCACACUUCAAUUUUUACAAAGUUCAUAACAAAUUCAAGUGCUCACGACAUGUACAAGGUUCAAAUAGAUGGUCAAUUAGAACAAAUGGAUAAGGAUUAUAAUGUGGUUACCAAAGAAACAUGAUGGCUCAAAGGGGUUAACUACGAUACAUAACAAUUAGGUGGGUAAAUUCUUAGAAUUGGCUCAACAAAGAAAUGCCAAUAUAACUCCCAAGAUUGAAUACAACUACUAUUUUAUUUUGUAAACACACGAGGCAAGUUCUAGACAUCAAAUACAAUGCAUAGAAUACACAAAACAUAACACACACAUGGCACACACCUCACUCAGGAUCAGAUUCAUCGAGACACUCUAGUCAAAGCAAGUAAGCAAAUUUAAGAUCAAACAAUUUAAGGUACUUCUACAAGAGUCAAAAAUUGAGCCUAAGCGUCACAUUAAAGUGCUCACACUAUUCUCAAGGUAGUGUAUUAAAGCUACCAAUUAAAGCUCAAACACAAAUAAAGUGAAAAAUACUACCAAUUAAAGCUCCAACACAAGUAAAGUGCAGUGAAUUAAAGUGCAAUAAGUUACUAAAAUGACCAAGUAAAGUGUCACAAUUGUUUUUCUAUCUAGGGCUCGUAUGGUAGCACUUGUUUCAUAGAAGCCCGAGUCAUACACAAAUCUAAACCCUUAACCUGCGCACAAUCAACGAACACCAAAUGUAAAAAGAGAAAAUAAAAAUAGAAAAAAAAAAUUCCUGAAUUAGCACUACAAACUAUUUCAAACACUAUUGAUUGCCAAUCCCCAGCAAAUGUGCCAAAAUUUGACGAGCUCGAAACAAACACCUAAAUGAUGCCCGCUAAUCAAAUAUAGUAUAGUAUAAUAUCGUAUCCACAGGGAUUGGAUUUACAAAGUAUUCUCGUAGUUUCUAGCUUGGUUGCUAUCCAAGAUGAUCAACAAUAUAGAUUUAUAUGAUUUCUACUAAUAUUAACUAAAAAUCUAAUGCUAUUGACUAAUGACAAUCGAAAAAAAGAUAAGCAAGGAAGUUAUCAGUGGGAGAAAGUAGGGGUUUAUAGGAUAGGUGCAAGAUAAUUCUUCGGGAUCUAACUCUAGAUAAUUCACUUCUAAUGUUCAAGUGAGUCUCUCGAAUUCACUCAAUUAUUAGUUCAAACGUUUAGCAAAAAACUCCUCUCUUGAUUAUGUCUUAACCUCACGAGAUGAACCAAUUUAAGCACGUGAAGAUGCAAGAAUGCGUAGUGGAUUGGUCUUUAGGAAAUCCUCUUUUGGUAAUUCUCCUAACUAGGUUUAAUCAAUGAUUUAACUAGCCUCUUUCGAUUACUAAGAAGAAUUAAUGAACUCAACCAACAAUAUAAUGCAAAGAUAUCACAGGUUAUUCCUCUCUCGAUUAGAUGAACAAGUGAAUAUACAUGCAACAAUUAAAUCAUCCAAAACGCUUCAAUACAUAAUAAUAGAGUUAUAAUACACAAACAAUCAUCAAUACACCAAAUCCAUCAAACCCUAAAGAGAACUUACUCCAAAGAUAUGGAGAAAUAUAUCACAAAUAAAGUUAAAGUAUAGGAAAAACAUAAAUUUAAUCCAAACUCGUGUCUUGAGUGAGGAGAAAUGAUGCAAUCCUUGUACUCGUGUUCUUUCAACUCCUCCUUAGCCUCCUUAGGUCGAAUAUGUGUCAAAAGUCAAGAAAAUAACGUUUUCCCAUGUAUUUAUAUCAAGUAGGGUGAGACCCUGAUGAAAUCACCUUCUCCUAGCCGAAAUAGGAAAAGUACUCUGCAAAUAUUGCACAGGCACGACACCCAACGCGUCGUGACAGUGGAGAUUUCUCAAAGUACGGACCAAACUUUGAUUUUUGAUGUCCAGACUUGAUCAUCGACUCCAGAACACGAUCAUGGCUUAAUUCCUUUGGCUUCUACUCAGUCUUCAAAUCUCUGAAUCACUCGAAUUCAUUUCACAACAUCUACAUAGCCCAAAAUCACACCUACAAGGCAUAAACACACAAUAAGUGCAAAAUACUACCAAUUAAAGCUCAAACACCAGUAAAGUGCAGUGAAUUAGAGUACAAUAAGCGACUAAAAUACGGGAUUAUAGCCUACCAUCAACACCCCACACUUAAACCAUUGCUCGUCCUCGAGCAAUCAAACUGCACUUCAUAUAGAGACGACCGUUUUAAAAAACUCUCAUAACUCAUCACAUUAGGAAUAAUUAAAACAGAUUAAGCACUCUAACAUAACAUCCUUGCCUCAAUAUUUGACUCACAAGCACCACACACCUUUCAAAACCCCCUAACUUACUCUAACCUAGAGGUCAAUGACAUUAUUUUUCCUUGAUGAAUUAAGUUCCCUCACACAAUAAUAGAGAGUAGUUCCGCACACAAUGAAAUUUAAGAACAAUUAGGAACUCAAGAUAGAAAGAAUUCACUCACUCUAAGAAACAACAUUCAUAUGCCACAAAAGACGAACAAUUGGCUUAACCGUAGUGUACUACUCUACUAAUUAUGCUCAUUCAGUCAUGGAUCAAGUAGGACUUUCAUUUAGUUGUAAUGUAGGUUGCGCGAUAGGUAGGAUAUAUUUAGAUAUAAGAGAGACUACACCUCCCUAAGCACUUUAAUAAAUACAUUCCAUUGUUCAAAACCGCAUACUAAUGUCAAACAAAAACUCCACCUUUACCUCAAUAUACAUUAACUCCCUACUUCUUUAAGAACAAUUACAUCAAGUUACCACUAUCAAUGAAUAUCAUUUCUUUGCGACAAUACAACUACUUUUUUUCCUUUUUUUUCAAUUCAAGUGGCCCUUAUUUUUUUCAAUACAGUGCAACCUUUUCCUUAUCUCAUUAGUUCCACUCAAAAGCCAAACCAACCACCCCACUUUUCAACUUUUACAAAGAUCAUAACAAAUUGAAGUUCCCCGGCAACAACGUCAAAAUUUGAUGAGCUCGAAACACACACCUAAAUUAUGCUCGCUAAUCAAAUAUAGUAUAUUAUAAUAUCGUAUCCAUAUGGAUUGGAUUUAAAUAGUAUUCUCGUAGUUUUCAGCCUUGUUUCUAUCCAAGAUGAUAAAAAAAAUGAGAUUUAUAUGAUUUCUAUUAAAAUUAAUUAAGAAUCUAAUGUUAUUGACUAAUGCUAAUCGAAACAAAGAUAAGCAUGGAAGUUAUCAGUGGAAUAAAGCAGGGGUUGAUAGGAUAAGUGCAAGAUAGUUGCUCGGGGAUCUAACUCUAGAUAAUUCACUUCAAUUGUUCAAGUGAGUCUUUCGAAUUCACUCAAUUAUUAGUUCAAANNNNNNNNNNNNNNNNNNNNNNNNNGUUUAGUCAAUGAUUCAACUAGCCUCUUUCGAUUACUAAGAAGAAUUAAUGAACUGAACCAACAAUAUAAUGCAAAGAUAUCACAAUUUAUGCUUCUCUCGAUUACAUAAACAAGUGAAUAUAAAUGCAACAAUUAAAUCAUCCAAAGAUGCUUCAGUACAUAUAACUAGAGUUAUAAUCCACAAACAAUCAUCAAUACACCAAAUCCAUCAAACUCUAAAGAGAACUUACUCCAUAGAUAUGGAAAAAUUCAUCACAAAUAAAGUUUAAAGUGUAGGAAAAUAUAAAUUCAAUCCAAACUCGUGUAUUGAGUGAGGAAGGAAUGACAAAAUUCUUGUGCUCGUGUUCUUCCAACUCCUUUUUAGCCUCCUUAGGUCGAAUAUGUGUCAAAAGUCCAGAAAAUAAUGUUUUACAUGUAUUUAUACCAGUAGGGUCGGGCCCAGAUGAAAUCACCUUCUUCUAGCCGAAAUAGGUAAAGUACUCUAUAAACAUUGCACAGGUACAUCGCCCCAUGCGUCGCGGCAGUGUAGAUUUCUCAUAGUACGGACCAAACUUUUAUUUUUGACGUCCAGACUUGAUCCUCGACUCCCGAACACGAUCCUGGCUUAAUUCCUUGGGCUUCUACUCAGGACUUAAAGCUUUAAAUCACUCAAAUUCAUUUCACAAUAUCUACAUAGCUCGGAAUCGCUCUUAAAAGGCAUAAACAUAUAGUAAGUGUAAAAUACAACCAAUUGAAGCUUAAACACAUGUAAAAUGCAGUGAAUUAUAGUGAAAUAAGCAACUAAAAUACGGGAUUAUAGCCUACCAUCACCCGAAUCCUGUCUGCUACGGUGGGUGUAGCCAGCUACCUCCGAUAACUAGUGAACGAGGAGGACAAUGCAAAGCUAAACGAGGUGGGCACUUCAAGUCUCUUCAACGAGGCGCAUAAGGCGCUAGACCGAGUAAAAUGCUAACACUUUCGCACCACUUUAUGAAUCCCACUUAGGUUUUUCUUUGAUGUCUCUUACUAAAUUCACUGUCUUAUAGGCUUCAAUGCUUCACCAUGAAAGCUUCCUCUUGUACCGUUUUGAAAUUAACCAGCUCGAGUUUGAGCUUAAAGAGUAGGUCUGGAAGAAGGACAUGUAUAGGGCUCUCAGUGAGAAACAGGGCGAGACAUUUAAAUACCUCCCGAUUCUCUAGGCCGAGCUAAAAAAUGCUCAGAAGAAAGCCUCGGCCCUAAAGCGGCAACACGCCGAACUGGUUGAGAAGGUAAAGGUAUUUGAAGCUAAAAACGAGCAGCUAUUCGUGGUGACUAAAAACACAACUUCGCAGGUCUAACAGAAGAUAGACCUGAUCGACAAGUUGCGGGCUGAGAUGUAUGAGGUCAAGGCCCAAAUCUAAGUGUGGAAAGUAGGAUGGACCGGCUGGUCUCGGAGAAGGAAGAUGCGAAGGCAAAUUUGGCGUUGGUCGAGAACAAACUUUGGUUGGCGAAGGACAAAGCCGAUAAGUGUUCUAGGUUGAAUGAUGAUCUUCGAGCACAACUGAGCUCGGUCGUCGGGGAAUGGGAUGCUCUCGAAAGAGAAAAUACUGCACUGGGAGCCAGAUAGGACACAACCUCUGCUAACGUCGAAGAAAUAGUGGCUCAGUACAAGGCCAAUGUGGAGGCAGCCGAGACCCGCUCAAAGACAAAAACAAAAUACAUGAAGCGGCUAUCCCGGAGAGAUAUCCUCAAAUAGAUUAACGCCUGAGGUUUUGACCUAUUGACCGAGGUCGAGGAAGCUAGGAGGCUCGAGGCCGAGGUGAAGGAACUAUACGAGCCUGAGUGUCCCGAAGGUUCCGAGGGAUCUGAGGACUGCGACAGUUCUGGCGAUGAGUCGGGCCCCAGUGAAGACCAGGCGUAGGUGCCUUAGUAUUUUUCCAGCUUUUCUUAUGCAUUUAUUUAUUUAUUUAUUUAUCUAUUUUUUUUAUCUAGAGGCCGUUUUGUCGGGCCCUUGUAAAUAUAUUUUGGAAUGUAUAUUGUUUUUCUUUUUUUGGCAAUAACGUGUCUCUACUUUUCCAGCAUCUUCUUGCAAUUUUUAUUUGUGUAUUAUUUUUUAUGCCUUAGCAUAGAAUCAGAUGUAGUUCUGGGGCAUUCGUUUUUCGGAGAUUCGAACGAAGCCCGACCUUAACGCAACUUUGUUUUCUUGUGGCUUCGAGCCCUCGGUGAGAUUGGGAGUUUUUAAGAUGCUUAAGUGUCUUUGGAUGAUGUUUUUGCCAAUGAUAACCUUUUAAUAGGUUUUGAAUUAUCGUAAGGGCCUUACUUUCUGGUUCUAGACUUCGGACAUCUCCGAGCCAUUUUUAGGGUGGUCGUAGCCUUUUAUAUUUGUGCACUGCCUAAUAGGUUUGGUGCCUCCAGCAGGGGUAGCCCGUAGGCUCAAUAGUCCCCAACUAGUGGUAGCCCGUAGGCUUUAAGGAUCCGGGAUUGAAGAGACAAAACGCGUAAUGACAAAGUGUAAGGGAAGUGGAAAUUUCUUUCAUUUCCUGGUAAAGGUACAUGAUUGAAACCGGAUAAAAACUUGUGCCAUGGCUAGAGCGGACUAUGUGGGCAUGAUUCAUACGACUGUUUGGCCCUUACAAUGAAUCCUAACUGCCCCACCAUAGAUUUUAUGACAUUAUGUUUUCGUCUUCUCCUACUAAAGACCUUAAUCCAAGGGUAAUGGCCCUUAGUAUUUGAGAUCAAACUCGUGAGGGCUCGGAUAAUGUUGAUUUAAAGUUAACAAGCAUCAACUACGAUCUGAAACCGGUCUUCAAAUCUAAGUUAGUACGUUUUACUAUCGCCUUGUUAAAACCUUGCCGAAAAACCCAUUUUGGGACAAAUCGGUUCAAGGAAAAAAGAGUGCAACGCGUGCUUUCAGACAUAAUAGUCACAUCCGCCUAUGGCCGUUUACCCGCAUAUAUUAGUCCGAUUUAUAACAUGAUUAAAAAUAAUUGAAUUCGUUCCUUAGCAGUAGUACCGCUUUAAGUGUGCCACGUUGUAGUUGUUAGGUAAUUGUACGUCAUUUCCCGCUUCUAGUUUAUACGAGACUUUGCCGAUUAUUCCGACAACCCGAUAUGGUCCUUCCCAGUUCGGUCCCAACUUCCCCUUGUUCGGGUUCCUGGUGUGUAAUGUUACUUUCCUCAACACCAACUCCCCGACUUGAAAGUGUCGCAGGCUGGCUCUUCGGUUGUAGUACCUUUCUAUUCACUAUUUCUGGGCCGUCAACCGGACCAAGGCGGCCUCCCGCCUUUCAUCCAAUAGUUCCAAGCUGGUGAUUAUGACCUCGCCAUUUGACUCUUCUGUUGCAUAUUGGAACUUAAGGCUCGGUUUUCCCACUUUGACUGUUAUUAAGAAUUCGACUCUGUAAACCAACAAAAACAGGGUGGCCCCGGUAUUAGAUUUUGAGGUCGUAGGGUAUGGCCACAGGACUUAGGGCAAGAAUUCCUUCCAUUUCCCUUUCGCACCGGUCAACCUCUUUUUCAGUUUUUAAAGUAUGGUCUUGUUUGUUGAUUCUACCUGCCCAUUCCCACUAGGGUGAUAAGGUGUUGAUUGUAUUUUUUUGAUCUUGUGAUGUUCGAAAAAUUUAUUUACUUUGUUGUCGAUGAAUUAUUUUCCAUUAUCACAAACGACCUUGACUGGUAUCCCAAAUCUACAUAUUAUGUUGUCCUAGAUGAAGUCAAUGACUUCUUUCUCCUGGACCUUUUCGAACGCUUGAGCGUCGACCCAUUUGGAAAAAUAAUCGGUCAAGAAUACUAUGAACUAAGCCUUAUGGGGUGCCCAUGGUAGGGGACCUACGAUGUCCAUUCCCCACUUCAUAAAUGCCCACGGGAACAAAAUCGAGUGGAGCAUUUCUCCUGGUUGAUGGAUCAUUGGGGCGUGUCUCUGGAAGUCGUCGCAUUUCCGAAUGAAUUCCUUCGCAUCUUUCUCCAUUUCGGUCUCGGUUCUAAUUAACUUAUGAACCAAAGAUUCUACCCCCGAAUGGUUCUCCCAAGUGCCUUCGUGAACUUCUCUCAAGGCGUAUUCGCUAUCUCCCAGUCCAAAGGAUAUAGCUAGCAUGUCGUUGAAGGUUCUCUUGAACAAUGCCCCUUCGACCAAGCUAAAUCUGACAGCCUUGGUAUUUUCCGAGGGCAAUUUUCCUAUUUUCAAGUAGUCUAUGUACUUAUUCCUCCAAUUCCAAGUUAAACUCGUUGAGUUUACUUUGGCGUGGCCUUCUUCUAUCGCCGACUUCAUGAGUUGCACUACUAUUCCCGAACUGAAUUCAUCGGCAUCAACCGACGAUCCCAAGUUAUCUAGAGCAUCAGCCUCACUGUUCUGAUCUCGGUGUACGUGCUACAGGGUCCAUUCCCUGAAAAUAUGCAGCAUUACCUAUAAUUUGUCUAAGUACCUUCGCAUAUGUUCCUCUUUUACUUCGAACGUCCCAUUAACUUGAUUUACCAUGAGGAGGGAGUCACACUUACCUUCGAUCACCUUGGCCCAAAGGCUUUUAGCCAAUUCAAGACCUGCAAUCAUGGCUUCAUACUCGACCUCAUUGUUAGUAAAUUUCAUAGUUCUAAUAGACUGCCUUACUACAUUACCUGUAGGUGGUUUCAAUACAAUCCCGAGAACAGACCCCUUCGCAUUCGAGGCACCGUCCGUGAAGAGGGUCCAGAUUCCUGAAGUGAUCCUCGAGGUUAACAGUAGUUCCUUUUCGACUUCGGGUACCAAAGCUGGCGUAAAGUCAGCCACGAAGUCUGCCAAAAUUUGAGAUUUUAUGGCUAUUCGGGGUCGAUACUCGAUAUCGUACCCGCUAAUUUCCACCGCCCAUUUGGCCAGCCGGCCCAAGAGCUUGGGUUUGUGCAUGAUGUUCCUUAGUGGGUAAGAAGUAACGACACAUAUGGGGUGGCAUUGAAUGUACGUCUUUAGCUUCUUGGAGGCACUUAGCAAAGCGAGCGCUAAUUUUUCCAGGUUAGGAUACCUUGAUUCGGCCUCGCCUAGAGUUCUACUGACAUAGUAAAUAGGUAAUUGCGUAACUUCUUCUUCUCGAACUAAGACUCAAUGUACCGCUACCUCGGGAACUGCCAAGUAGAGGUCCAACAGUUCGUCUGCCUUUAGAGUGUGCAAUAGGGGCGGACUCGACAUGUACCGUUUGAGUUCUUCCAAAGCUUGUUGGCAUUCUGGGGUCCAGGAGAAAUUAUCCUUCUUUUUUAACAGUAGGAAGAAUCGAAUGCUUUUGUUUGAGGACCUCGAGAUGAAACUGCCUAGGGCGGCUAUUCGCCUGGUCAGUCUUUAGACGACCUUGACAUUGUCCACCAUGGUGAUGUCCUCUAUGGCUUUGAUUUUGUCGGAGGUUGACCUCGAUUCCCCAAGCGGAUACCAUGAACUCGAGGAAUUGUUUUGAUCCGACCCCGAAUGUGCACUUAUCUAGGUUCAGCUUCAUAUUGUAGUUCUAUAGUAUGUCAUAGGUCUAGUGCUAAUGUUUCAUAUGGUCCUCUGCUUGCAGGGACUUGUCUAAUAUGUCGUUAGUAUGAAUUUCCAUUGAUUUUCCUAUAUGUUCUUCGAACAUCCGGUUUACUAGGCGUUGAUAGGUGGCACCAGCGUUCUUUAAUGCAAAUGGCAUUACAUUAUAACAUUAGGUGCUAAAUUUAGUGAAGAAAGAAGUCUUUUCUUGAUCUUCCAGGUCCAUCCAAAUUUGGUUGUACCCAAAAUAGGCUUUGAUAAAGCUUAGUAUUUGGUGUCCGGGCGUCACGUCGAUCAUCCGAUCAAUGUUAGGAAUUGGGAAAGAAUCUUUAGGGAAUGCCUUGUUCAGAUUCUUGUAAUCUACACACAUUCUUAGCUUAUUCCCUUUUUAGGUACUACCACUACGUUAGCUAACCGGUACGGGUAUUUAACCUCCCUGAUGCACUCUAUUUUAAGAAGGUUAGAUACCUCGUCCUUGAUGAAUGCAUGCUUGACCUUGGACUGCGUCCUCCUCUUCUAUUUAACCGGAUGGAACAUCGGGUCUAAACUCAGCUUAAGAGUGGUUACCUCUGGUGGGAUCCCUGUCAUGUCAAGAUAGGACCAAGCGAAACAAUCUAUUUUAGCUUUAAGAAAAUUAAUGAAUUUUUUCCUGAGCUCAAGGGUUAACCCCGUGCCCAGGUAUACUUUUCGAUCUGAUAGGUGUUCGAUUAGUAUGACUUUCUCUAACUCCUCGACCAUCAAUUUUGUGGCAUCGGUGUCAUCAAGAACUAUGAACGAUCUCGGGACUCUGUAAUCUUCCUCCUCGUCUAUUCCUCAUUUCUACGGUUUGGCCGAGACUGGCAUUAGUGAUUGCUAUUUAGUUUCUUCCUUGGCUAGACUCACAUUCCUUGACGUCGAAACAGCGGGCAUCGGGAUUACCUCGUCGACCGCAAAAAUAUCCUUUACAAUCGGUUGCUCUCCGUAGACCGUCUUGAUUUCUCCCCGUGUAGGGAAUUGCAAUGCCUGGUGCAAGGUCGAGGGUACCUCCCUAAUGUUGUGAACCCACGACCUUCCGAUCAGAUCAUUAUACCUCAUGCCCCCUUCAAUCACGUUGAACUUUGUCUCUAGGAUCAUCCCGGUGGUGUUCAUCGGAAGGGUUAUCUCCCCUUUAGUGGUUUCACAUGCCAUGUUAAAUCCGUUCAAUACUCACACUGUCGGCACUACUUGGUUCUGUAGCCCCAAUUGCUCUAUGACCCUUGAUAUGAUGAUGUUGGUCGAGCUAUGUGGAUCAAUCAUAUAAUGACCCGACCGGUUGUUUUGAUAAUUAGCAUUCUUUUUAGCUAUUUGGAGUCUUGAUUAGCUUCAUAUGAUGUAUUAUGACUUGUGUAUAUCGUCGGUUUUGGUUUUCAGGUGUUUCAGAAUUAGUUUGGAAGUAUGAAUUUCAUGUUUGAAGCUUUAAGUUGGAAGAGUUGACCAUGUUUGACAUUUUAGUAUUUGACCACGG